GACGAACGCUGGCGGCGUGCUUAACACAUGCAGGUCGAACGGAAAGGCCUGCUUUCCCUUGUGGAUUGCGGGUACUCGAGUGGCGAACGGGCGAGUAACACGUGAGUGAUCUGCCCCCAACUUGGGUAUAAGCCUGGGAAACUGGGUCUAAUUCCCGAUAGGACUGCAGGGUGGUGCCUGUGGUGGAAAACGAUUUUCUAGUGGUUGGGGAUGAGCUCGCGGCCUAUCAGCUUGUUGGUGGGGUAAUGGCCUACCAAGGCGGCGACGGGUAGCCGGCCUGAGAGGGUGGACGGCCACAUUGGGACUGAGAUACGGCCCAGACUCCUACGGGAGGCAGCAGUGGGGAAUAUUGCACAAUGGGCGGAAGCCUGAUGCAGCGACGCCGCGUGGGGGAUGACGGCCUUCGGGUUGUAAACUCCUUUCGACCGCGAGGAAGCCACCUGGUUGGAAGGGUGGUGACGGUAGUGGUAGAAGAAGCACCGGCUAACUACGUG
rnacentral:rRNA from 1 species